GGGUCAGUAGGUUGGUCGUGCCACCGGUACGUACUGGUCUCACUGAUUCCUCCUUCCUGAGGAACCGUAAUGCCACUAAUUUGGUGUUGCGGGGAAACAGGACUGUUACUUUGAAAAAAUUAGAGUGUUUAAAGCAAGCUAACGCUUGAAUACAUUAGCAUGGAAUAAUGAAAUAGGACGAUCGAUCCUAUUUUGUUGGUUUCUAGGAUUGACGUA
rnacentral:rRNA from 1 species